CCGCCCAAGAGUUCAUAUCGACGGCGGUGUUUGGCACCUCGAUGUCGGCUCAUCACAUCCUGGGGCUGAAGCCGGUCCCAAGGGGAUGGCUGUUCGCCAUUUAAAGUGGUACGCGAGCUGGGUUUAGAACGUCGUGAGACAGUUCGGUCCCUAUCUGCCGUGGACGUUUGAGAUUUGAGAGGGGCUGCUCCUAGUACGAGAGGACCGGAGUGGACGAACCUCUGGUGUUCCGGUUGUCACGNGGCAUUGCCGGGUAGCUAUGUUCGGAAAAGAUAACCGCUGAAAGCAUCUAAGCGGGAAACUUGCCUCAAGAUGAGAUCUCACUGGAACCUUGAGUUCCCUAAAGGGCCGUCGAAGACUACGACGUUGAUAGGUUGGGUGUGUAAGCGCUGUGAGGCGUUGAGCUAACCAAUACUAAUUGCCCGUGAGGCUUGACCAUAUAACACCCAAGCAAUU
rnacentral:rRNA from 1 species